rnacentral:rRNA from 1 species
UUUGGAGGGCAAGUCUGGUGCCAGCAGCCGCGGUAAUUCCAGCUCCAAUAGCGUAUAUUAAAGUUGUUGCAGUUAAAAAGCUCGUAGUUGAACCUUGGGCCUGGCUGGCCGGUCCGCCUCACCGCGUGUACUGGUCCGGCCGGGCCUUUCCUUCUGGGGAACCUCAUGCCCUUCACUGGGCGUGCUGGGAACCAGACUUUAUUA